ACAGACAGAAUUUGGUGGUGCUGCUGUAAUAUUUUCAUGAUGGGUCCGGAAUAUAAAGGGCUGAGCAUUUGCUUUCUGUGUAAUUUAUGAUCCAUUCUUUCAUAUAUAGUAUCACCAAGCUGGAGGUCUAUCAUUUUAUUUGGUCAAAUCUAUAACAUUGUUGGUCAAGCUUGACAAGAAAACUGUUCAGGACUUCAGGAUGUAAUUCUGGGUUGGCUUUGGUCGUUGAUCCGUGUCACCAAGAAAGAAGGAGAACAGGGUUUGAUUUUUCAAUGGAUUUUGCACCGUUGUAACCAGUGUUAUUCGAGUUUAAAAUGUUUGAGAAAACCUGGGCAGUCAAAUGAAGUAAAGUGCAACGUUCCGAUAGAAUGGCUAUAAUAUCUAUAUGCCAUGGAAGGUGUCAUAGCACUUACCUGCUAACACCCAGCUGAUAAAUGCUUGUGCUUACUCACUACUAUUAGAUCAGAAGAUCAGAAAGCCCUUGAAAAACUCAAUCGAUCUAUUCAAGUUUUCUGACGAUCUUGGUAAAAUCCGGAGUAGAGGGGAGGCCAGUGCUGCUGCUCUAGUGUUACCAUUUGAAGAGUACUGUAUGAUAGUGUAACGGUUGUGAAACAUAAAAAAACCAGAUGCAAAUUCCACUACUACAAUUUGAUAGAGAUCUGGAAAUAUUGGUACCGCAGAUCAUUCAUUAGUUACAAGAGCUUGUGGGGGAACUGGAUGUCAUGGAGGAUCAGGUGAAUGACUUGUCUAGAAUGAAAAAUAUCACAAGUAGUACUGUUAUUACUGCAUAAAUGAAGAUCCCUUUGUGGAUAUUAAGGAGUUUGAGUUAGAUCUUAGGAAAUUGUCACACUGCCUUGCAAAUGCAUCAAAUGUGUGGUACUAGCAUAUAUAGGUCAAAGUUUUUCAGAUUUUAAGCAGAGCAAGUAUUGAAUAUACAGAGUUAGAGAGGG